rnacentral:piRNA from 1 species
UAGAAUGCACAAAGCAAAGAACCAGCUAGA